rnacentral:sRNA from 1 species
UUGUAAGAUAGGAUAUUUAUGCACACACAAGUAAUUCGGAGCCGUGGUAUGAUUAUAUCAUCGCAUCCGUUUGAUAUGCAAUGCGAAAGAACCUGACACGGUAUCAGGUUCUUUUUUUA